GCCAGCAGCUACAUCACCCUGCAACUCACAACUGCCAGCCCUCUGUACCUAAGCAGGUGUGAGCCUGGUCAGUAUCUGGAUAGGAGACUUCCAGGAAAAAACUGAGGUUUCUGCUGGAA
rnacentral:rRNA from 1 species